UACGAAGGGGGCUAGCGUUGCUCGGAAUCACUGGGCGUAAAGGGUGCGUAGGCGGGUCUUUAAGUCAGGGGUGAAAUCCUGGAGCUCAACUCCAGAACUGCCUUUGAUACUGAGGAUCUUGAGUACGGGAGAGGUGAGUGGAACUGCGAGUGUAGAGGUGAAAUUCGUAGAUAUUCGCAAGAACACCAGUGGCGAAGGCGGCUCACUGGCCCGUAACUGACGCUGAGGCACGAAAGCGUGGGAGCAAACAGGG
rnacentral:rRNA from 1 species